rnacentral:pre_miRNA from 1 species
AUACUACUCCCUCCGUUUGGAAUUACUUGUCUCGGAAAUGGAUGUAUCUAGAAUACAUCUAGAUACAUCCAUUUCCGAGACAAGUAAUUCCGAACGGAGGGAGUAGAUG